ACCUGGCUCACGGCGAGUGCGGAGCAGAAAGCACUACUGGCGCGGGCCACAGCCAGCCGCUUUCAUCUGCUAAGACCUCACCUGAAAGUCGCACCAGUGCCCUCAAGGAUCCUCCCGCCUCUGCAGGAUGUCGAGGCUCCUCCUCGCGGGGAGGAGAAAGACGAAUCCCCUCCCUGCAUUCUCGGACAGUGCCACGUCCUCCGGCUGCCAGCGGGGCAGCGCCGCUAGGUAUGUGAGCUUCAAAGUUGGAAGAAAUUAAGCAACAUGCUUUGGAAUCUAUGGUGAUCUAUAGAAAGGCAAAGUUUCUGGACUCACCCUGACUGAUGGAAAGACAGACUGCCUGCCAGGACACUACCCUGCUGUACCCAGUCUUAAGUAUAAUAAAGAUCUCAUUUUUUACUGUCAAUGCAAGCCACAUUUUCCUAUUAGGAAAAUGUGAAUGAAACAAAGUGCUCUUCAAGAGCAAACCCUGAAUUAUAUUUUGGGUUAUUCUCUGUUCCUCAAAAGGAUUUUGCAUCUAACUGAUAGUCUCCAAAUUGUAAUGACAGUAUAUAGAUAGC
rnacentral:lncRNA from 10 species